rnacentral:rRNA from 1 species
GAACUGAGACACGGUCCAGACUCCUACGGGAGGCAGCAGUGGGGAAUAUUGCACAAUGGGCGCAAGCCUGAUGCAGCCAUGCCGCGUGUGUGAAGAAGGCCUUCGGGUUGUAAAGCACUUUCAGCGGGGAGGAAGGCGGUGAGGUUAAUAACCUCACCGAUUGACGUUACCCGCAGAAGAAGCACCGGCUAACUCCGUGCCAGCAGCCGCGGUAAUACGGAGGGUGCAAGCGUUAAUCGGAAUUACUGGGCGUAAAGCGCACGCAGGCGGUCUGUCAAGUCGGAUGUGAAAUCCCCGGGCUCAACCUGGGA